GACAGAGGAUGCAAGCGUUAUCCGGAAUGAUUGGCGUAAGCGUCUGUAGGUGGCUUUUUAAGUCCGCCGUCAAAUCCCAGGGCUCAACCCUGGACAGGCGGUGGAAACUACCAAGCUGGAGUACGGUAGGGGCUAGAGGGAAUUUCCGGUGGAGCGGUGAAAUGCGUAGAGAUCGGAAAAGAACACCACGGCGAAAGCACUCUGCUGGGCCGACACUGACACUGAGAGA
rnacentral:rRNA from 1 species